GGGAGUAUAGCUCAGUGGUAGAGCACAUGCUUAGCAUGCAUGAGGUCCUGGGUUCAAUCCCCAGUACCUCCU
rnacentral:tRNA from 1 species